UCCUGCUGGAUCCCCUCCUUUAGAGACUAAAGACAGCACAUUGCCUGUCAGACGUCCGCACAAGUGACCUGCAUUCAGAGUUCCCGGUAACGCCCAGGGCGUAGCCGCGGGAGCGUCCCGUUUGAACAAUGGGGCUUUAGCUCAGCUGGGGGAGCACCUGCUUUGCAAGCAGGGGGUCGUCGGUUCGAUCCCGACAAGCUCCACCAAACCAGCCGUGCACGACUUUUGGGUCUGUAGCUCAGGUGGUUAGAGCGCACCCCUGAUAAGGGUGAGGCCGGUGGUUCGAGUCCUCCCAGACCCACCACAUUCCUCAACGGAACUCUGAUACUGCGCACAUUCUUAAAGAUUUGAAGCGGAUCGUCGUUGAUUUCCGAUUCUUGUUCUUUGAUUAUUUAGAUGUUUCGAACUGUUUAUUAUUUAAUGUCCUUACUAUGUUAGAUAAAGCCUCUUUAUUGUUUAUAAACUCUUUGUUUACUUAUUCAUUUUUUUUUAUAUUGUUUUUUUUUUUUCCUUUUUCACCUGAUUUUUUCCUCGUAAAUUUAUGCCUAUUUUAUAUCUUUUUAUCUUUCUUUAUUCCUUACUUUUCUCUUUUUUUACUUUUUCCUCCUUUUUUUUCUCAUUUUACCCAAUAUUUUUAGCUUUUUUUUUUUUCUCCUUUCUUUUUCGUGCAUUUUUUUCUUCUUCACUUUCUUUUUUUUUUAUUUCUCUCUUUCUUUCUCCAUUUUUUCCCUCUAUUUAUUAUUUUUUUCUUCUUUCUUCCUUUUUACUCCUUUAAUUUACUUU
rnacentral:tRNA from 1 species